CUUCAGUCUGCAGAAACCAUGAAGGCGACUGAGCUUUUCCUCUUGUUGCUGAGCGUCUGCCGGACGUCUGCCAGCACCCGUGCCUCGGUGACGGUCAAUCCCAAACGGUCGCAGCAUUUCGAGUAUGAUAUGGUCACUGUGAGCUGUGACAGCACCAGCUCUGGUGAAUGGACGGUGUGGAGAUACACAACAGCAGCGUCAGUCUAACAUCACACAACAGAAUCCCUAAAAGAAAUCAGUUUUUUACCAUAGUAAAAGACAACCUGGUGUACUUUCCAUCCCUUAUGAUCAUUGUGUAAAUCAUCUAUUGGCUGUUAGCUUUGUUUGCUUCCUUACAGGUAACAUGCUGCGGUUUCAUACUGCACAUUGAUAACACAUCACAGACAUUCGGUUUCCUUUACUCUCUAAAGAUUAUGUUAGCGGUGAAUGCGUAUGAGUAAGCGUCUACUUAUGUAAUAAUGACAAAUUGCUGGAAAGUCAUGUCUGAUAAUUAAAACCAAGGUUAUCAGACAUCAACUUAAUGUGUUAAAUCUCUCAUCAUCCCGUCUGAUCUUUAGCUACUGAGCUAAUGUGACAUUA